rnacentral:ribozyme from 15 species
UCCUUGCAUCUGACCCAAGGAAAAAAAAAAACAGGAAACCUAGAAAAGGGAAGAGAAUCUAGAGAAUUAGCACUUAUUAUUUUCCUAAUUUUUUUUUGCUCUUAUUUU